ACGAGUACCCGAACGCCCACCCCUAUGUUUAAUAGACAUAUAUUUAAUAGCACAUAAUUAAAAAUGCUAUAUUUGUCUUUUUAAAUCCCUAAACGGUAAACGAAUUUUUAAACCCUAAACUUUAAACAUAUACUUUAAACUCAGAUAUUAAGUAUAUAGUCAAAAACUAUUUCUGUUUCAUAAAUUUAAUCUCAAUCUCAAUACCCCAAACUUUUAACUCUCAAACCCUGGGCUCAAACCCUAUAUUCAAACCUUUAAACCCUUAAACUAAUUUCAUUUAGUAUAAUUCUUUUAUUUAAAAUCUUUAAACUAAUUUAAGAUUACAGUUUAAAAAUUAAUCUCAAAUCUCAAUACCCCAAACUUUUGAUCCUCAAAUUCUAUUAUAUUUUAAAUUUUAAUUAUCAUGUUUAAUUCUUUAAAUUUAUGCAAUUUUUGAAGUGAAAUGAGAAGAACAAUUUUAUUUUUUUAGGACCAUUGAUUGAAUUUGAUCUAGUGGCAACAAUCAUUAUUUGACUUUUGAAUCUCUAAACCCUAAACUUUAAACACAAAUUUUAAACUAUAAUACUAUAAACUUUAUAAUACAUGAAAACUUAAACUUCAGAUCUUAGAUAUAAAACUAAAAAAUUGAAUAUUUUUGAAAUUAUCAAAUCAUAUAAUUUUUUUAUCAAAUCAGUUUUUAAUCAUAUAACCACAAAAUUCAAAUGCCAAACUUAAAUCCUCUAGUUCAUAAACUUUAAACUAUAUUUCAUAUAUCCAAAUUCUAAACCUCAAUUUUAAAUUUCAAACUUAAAUCCUCUAGUUUAUAAACUUUAAACUAUAUUUCAUAUAUCCAAAUAUAAAUCACAAAAUCAUAAACUUUAAACCUUUUCUUAAAAUAAUUUUUAUUUUCAAAAAUAUAUCAUAAAUAUUUUUAUACUAAACACACAAAAUAAAAUAGAAAACAAUGUUAUUAAGAAAAAUAGGAAUCAAAUACAAAAAUUUGAUUGGUCAACACAAACUGGCCAAUCACAUACAAGGACGGAGAUCAUGCUUUAUGUAAUCACAACCAUUGAUUAAACUUUUUGAAGGGUCCAGAUUACUCCUACUUCUUCUCCUCUCUCUCUCUCACUACAAGAAAACACGGACAAUACUGACGGAAAAACCGACCGAAAAAAAUCUGUCAGGAUUUUCCAACGGAAUUCCGACGAAAACUUGUCGGAAAUAUAUUUCGGUAAAUUCGUCGGAACUGCGUCGGAAAAUCCUGACAGAAUACAUUCGUCGGUAUUUCGUCAUACGAUCCCGACAGAAAACCGACAAAAAACUGACAAAUAUAUGACCGUUGCAAAAAAUUGACACAUACCGACGAAAUACCGACGGCAUACCGACCAUGAAAGAAUUCGGUCAUAAUUCCGUCGGUUUUUCCGACGGAAUACCGACGGAUUGAACAGCCGUUAUACUUCCCGACUGAAAACCGACGAAUUUGCAGCCGUUGCACUUCCCGACGAAAUACCGACGGAUUAUGUAGCCGUUAGUAUCCGUUUAAAUUACCGACGGAACGCCGACGGGUUUAGGACGUUAAUUUAGCCGUUAUGAUUCCCGACGGAAUACCGACGAAUAUUUUCCGUCGGAAAGAUUUCCAAUUCAUUAUAAAUACGACCUCUCCUUCAUUCAUUGAAAUCACAACAAAACAAUAUAAAUUAUGGGUACUCCUUAUAAUUUUCGUUCUUGGUUAGAUCAACCUCAUAUGGAUCCAAAUACAAAUUUACUUACGGAGGAAUACGCACGUGGUAUUCAAGAAUUCAUGGGGGUGGUUCAAAGUCAACCGGAAGCAAGAACAAGUAAGUAUUUAUUAUGUCCAUGUUCUACUUGUAAGAAUAAUAUCCGUGUCAAAAAAAUGGAAGUAUGGAGUCAUUUAUAUUUGAAAGGAUUUACACGUGGUUAUAAGAUUUGGUAUCUUCAUGGAGAAAGAUUUGAGUAUGGUAGUAGUAGCGAACCUCAAACUGCCGAUAGGUUAGAUGAACCUACCACGGAUGUAGAUUUUGGGAUAGGGACUGUUCAGAUGGUAUAUGAUGCAUAUGGAGAAAAUUUACCGUCGGGUGAAGAGGAAGGAGAUAGACAAGAACAACCCAAUGUAGAAAAUUUCCCAUGUGAAGAGGAAGGCGAACGAGAACAACCCAAUCUAGAAGCCAGAAGAUUUUUUGAAAUGUUAGAUGCAGCUAAGCAGCCAUUGUAUCAAGGAUGUAAAGAUGGGCAUUCACCUUUAUCAUCCGCAAGUCGAUUGAUGGCGCUAAAGACUGACUAUAAUUUGGCUGAAGAAUGUGUGGAUGCGAUUGCAGAUUUUGUUAAAGAUGUUCUUCCUGAAGAUAAUCUUGCACCUGGCUCAUAUUAUGAGGUACAAAAAUUGGUCGCUGGUCUUGGCUUACCAUAUCAGGUGAUAGAUGUAUGCAUCGAUAACUGCAUGAUUUACUGGAGAGCAGAUGAGAACAGGGAGAGAUGUAAAUUCUGUCGGAAACCUCGUUAUCAGGAUACGACUGGAAGAGUUCCGGUGCCAUACAAACGAAUGUGGUAUUUGCCGUUGACUGAAAGAUUAAAGAGGUUAUAUCAGUCUGAACGAACAGCAGAACCAAUGAGAUGGCAUGCUGAGCACUUAACAAAUGGUGAGAUAACACAUCCUUCCGAUGCAGAGGCGUGGAAGCAUUUUCAAUCAACAUAUCCAGAAUUUGCAUCUGAGGUAAGAAAUGUGUAUCUUGCAUUAUGCACAGAUGGUUUCAGUCCAUUUGGAAAGCAUGAAAGACAAUAUUCAUUGUGGCCGGUAAUCUUGACACCUUACAACUUACCACCACAUUUGUGUAUGCGACGGGAGUUUUUGUUCCUCUCAAUUCUCGUUCCCGGGCCAGAUCAUCCUAAGAGAUCACUGGAUGUGUUUCUUCAGCCAUUGAUAUAUGAGCUGCAAUUAUUAUGGGAGCACGGUGUUCAUACAUACGAUGUUUCGCGGAAAGAGAAUUUUCAGAUGCGAGCAGUACUUAUGUGGACAAUAAGUGAUUUUCCAGCAUAUGGUAUGUUAUCUGGAUGGACCACGCAUGGGAGGCUAUCAUGUCCUUAUUGCCAAGACAACACAGAUGCUUUCCAACUAAAAAAUGGUCGGAAAUCGUGUUGGUUUGACUGUCACAGGAGAUUUCUACCACACGAUCAUCCAUAUCGUAAGAGUAAGACAUUGUUUACAAAGAACAAGAGGGUGUUUGACAGUCCACCUGAAGAAGUAAGUGGCAAAAAGUUGAAGGAACAAUUAAGAGAUUUUGGUGCAGAUAGAACGGCAGACGUGGGUGGAAACGGACAUGAACCGAUUUAUGGUGUAGGGGAAAAUCAUAAUUGGCAUAAGAAGAGUAUCUUCUGGGAUUUGCCCUAUUGGGAGACUCAUUUGUUGCGGCACUGUUUAGAUGUCAUGCAUAUUGAGAAGAACUUUUUCGACAAUUUGAUGAACACCAUCCUUGAUGUCCAAGGCAAGACGAAGGAUAACUUGAAGUCAAGACUGGAUUUGGUUGAUAUUUGUGCUCGUCCCGAACUUCAUGUUGAUGAGCACGGUAAAGGUCCUAUUCCCAUAUAUCGACUGGAUGCAACUGCAAAAGAAGAGUUUUUUGAUUGGAUAACACACAGUGUUAAAUUUCCAGACGGUUAUGCAUCAAGUUUGCGUAAUUGUGUUGACAAAAGUGAAGGGAAGUUUACUGGCUUGAAGAGCCAUGAUUGUCAUGUAAUGAUGCAGCGCCUCCUUCCUUUUGCGUUUUCCGCACUAUUGCCACGAAAUGUCCACGAAGCAAUCGCAGGGAUAAGUGCUUUCUUCCGUGAUUUAUGCUCGAGAUCACUCACAUCAGAUGGUAUCCGCAAUUUGGAAGUUAAAAUACCGGUGAUCCUAUGCAACCUCGAGAAGAUAUUUCCUCCAUCAUUUUUUGAUGUUAUGGAGCAUCUUGCUAUUCAUCUUGCGAGAGAAGCGGCACUCGGUGGUCCCGUGCAGUACAGGUGGAUGUAUUUGUACGAACGGUUUAUGUUUCAUCUGAAGAAGAAGGUCAAGAAUUUAAGCAAGGUGGAGGGAUCAAUAGUGGCUCAGUGCAUCAAUGAGGAAACCUCAAACUUUGCUGAAUACUACUUUCCAUCAGAAGUUCGAACAAAAAGUCGAAGACCUGCACGGCAUGAUGAUAGAGGUGAAAGGGCAACUUAUUAUGUUUAUGUGCCAAACAUGUUUACACAAAUUGGACGACAUAGUGGAAAGUCAACGGACCGGAUACUUACCGUAGCUGAGCAUGCUCAUUUGCACACAUAUUUGCUUACAAACUGCGAAGCCGAGUACAAGGAGUAUUUGAUCCACUACAACAACAAUUAACCGAAGAGGACGGCGAGAUUGGAGAGUUUGACGAAGACAAUUCAGAUUCAUCAUGUUCAUCAUCAGAUAAUUCCUCAGAUGGAGAGUAGAUACUCUUUUAUGAAUGUAUAUGCAAAUUACUUUUAAACAUUGUAGAUUUCUUCUAAAAACAAAUUAUGGGUUUGAAACGUUGUAUACUUUUAAAUUACAAAAAAUAAAUUAGAUUUGUUGAUUCUAAAAUCGAACGGUUUUGAUUGAUUGAUUAUAUACGGUUUUGAUUGAAUGGUUAUAUAUAUGUCAUGUUCAAAGUUAAAAAAAAAUCAAACUGAAACUCUAAAUUAAUAAUGUCCGUCGGUAUUCUGUCGGUAUAUACCGACGCAUUUCCGACGAAACCCUAGAAUUUGAGGGUUUCGUCGGAAAUGCAUCGGUAAAUACCGACGGAAUACCGAUGAACCCCUCAAAUUCUAGGGGUUCGUCGGUAUUCCGUCGGUAUUUACCGACGCAUUUCCGACGAACCCCUCAAAUCCUAGGGGUUCGUCGGAAAUGCGUCGGUAUAUACCGACAGAAUACCGACGGACAUUAUCAACUUAGAGAGUUUCGGUUUUUUACAAAUAUGAUUUUUUUUGCACUUGUAUUAAAUAUCAUAUAUAACAUCAGACAACAAAUCUACCCAUUGUAUUCUCACAGUUUUAAAACUUUGAACAUGACAUAUAUAUAUAAUCAUUCAAUCAAAACCAUAUAUAAUAAAUGAAUCAAAACCGUUCGAACAACAUCAUACACUUUUAAGUUGGCUUGUGCCAGUUCUCAGAAGUUGUAGCACUCAAACAAAUCUAGAACAUUUUUUUAGAAUGUUUUAUGAUUAUAUAACAUAAUAUAUUGGUUUUAGAAAGUUUUAUAACAAAUAUAAAUAAUUUCGACACCCUGUGUAAACUCUAAAACUUAAUCCGUCGGUAUCUCGUCGGAAUAUUCCGACAAAUUACCGACGGAAUUAACUAUACCGACGAAGAACAGACGGAUAAGGUCGUCGAUAUUUAAAAAAUUACACGGGUCAAGCUGUACCGCGCAAAAUUUUGGUAAACCGCCAAUAUUAAAAAACCGACGGAUUUCCGACGGGUAGAUAAAAUACCGACGGAAAAAACCCGUCGGUUAUCCGUCGGUUCAUUAAAUGAAUACAUAAGAGAAAAUCUCUUCUUUUUCCUCAUUUCUUCCCCGUUUUCUCUCUCUCUCCGCCCAGCCCCUCCUCCUCCCUCGCGAUUUCCGGCGAUUCCCUCCUCCUCCCUCGCGAUUUCCGACGUAAUCCCCCAAAUUCGACCUCCUCUUUCACCCAGUCAUGGAUGAACCACCUCCUCUUAUAGUUAGACGUCGUUUUCGCCGGGGUACUUCUUCAGUCACUCAGAGUACGUCACCCGCUAGUAGCCCAGUUGCAGCUACCACUCCUCCAGCAGCCCCCACCCCUCCAGCAGCCCGCACCCCCCCUUCUGUAGCUUCCGGCCCUUCUCAAAGUUCAAGAGGAGGAGGAUUGCCUACUACGAUGACUGUUGCGGAGUUAGUUAGGCAACCUGGCCGAGAAUCGCUUCAGCGCCUUGAUCCAAAUUAUCUUAUUGUCCCAAACACCACUUGGUUUGAUUUGUCUGGCAAUGGUAUCACCAACAGCCUUCUUAGGAUGGAGUACACGAUGCUAAAGCGUGGUUAUCCAACUUUCUAUGACAUGCCUGCAGAAGAUCAAGAACUUUGGUUUCGGCAAUUUGCGGUAUAUGUUCUCAAUUUUUAAUAUUAUAAAUUUUUUUCCACCAAUUGUAACUUUCUAAAAAAAAAUUUAUAUUUAUUUUGCAGCAAGAGUUCACUUGGGAAUCAGGGAUUACCGAACAAGUGAAAAUUGUUUUCCGCCGCAAAGCAGCUUCGCACUACACCAAGCGGAUCAAUGAGUGGAAGCAAAAAUUCGAUGUUGGUGAGGUCCCGAAGCACAUCAACCCAGACGUUUGGCGGGAUUUGUGUGGUCAUUGGACGAAAGAUGAGACAAAGUCUUUGUCGACAAUCAACUCGCAAAAUCGGUGUAGCAGCCGUGGCGGGAAAGGGAUGUUUGUCCACAACUUAGGGGCAACAAGUUUACAGACCCGAGCACUUCAGCUAGUAAGUUUCUAAUCUGAUUUUCUUAUUCAUUUUUAAAUAUGUGAUACUAAAUAUAUUGUUUUUAGAUGAAGGAAAACGGUGGAGUUCCCGUAGAUGAUUUUACCCUGAUGAAGAAUGCCUAUACCAACAAGAAGACUGGCGUGAUUCAGGAUGGACUUAUUCAGGACGUAAUCCAGGUCGUGGAAAAUCGAAAAGAGGAUCUCCUCGCGACUCAAGCUUCUAUGUGUGAAGAAGGCGAUUCUGCAUCUUCCAACUCCUUAACCGUAGAGCAACUCAACAACCUUGUUCUCGAGGUACAUUCUAAUUUCUUUUUGCUAUGUAUGUGUGAUAUGUGUGUGUGCGUGAGUAUGUGUGUGAUAUGUAUUUGUUAUUUCUCAUUCAGGCUGUUCCAAGGAAAAAGGGCCGUUAUGUUGGAUUGGCUCGUUCGACCGGAGGGGCUUCUUCUUCUUCUUCAGCUCACUAUCCACUGGUUCAUGAGCUUAUGGAGCAGAUUAAGACCAAAGAUACGGAGAUUGAGUUCCUCAAGAAUGACAAUGCUGAAAUCCGGGUUGAGCUGCAGCAAAACCGAACGACUAUGGAGCAAAACAAUGUUCUCACCCAGACCUUGUUGCAGAAGUUUAGGAGCC